UACGGAGGGUGCGAGCGUUGUCCGGAAUCACUGGGCGUAAAGGGCGCGUAGGCGGCAUGCCAAGCGUGUGGUGAAAGCUCGAUGCUCAACAUCGAGUCGGCCACGGAUACUGGGUUGCUCGAGCACUGUAGGGGCAGAUGGAAUUCCGGGUGUAGCGGUGGAAUGCGUAGAGAUCCGGAAGAACACCGGUGGCGAGGGCGGUCUGCUGGGCAGUUGCUGACACUGAGGCGCGACAGCGUGGGGAGCAAACAGG
rnacentral:rRNA from 1 species